CAACGUUGCCAAACGUACGAUAAUUAUUUGAACGAUGCCCUAACAAUACUUGUAAACCUCCUAAUGUAUGAGGAUUUACCUGUUCAAUAUAUGGAUAUUGGCAAACAAAGGAUACACCCACUGUUUACUCCGAGUAGCAGAGUGUCCAAUCUAAGCAACGUCGUCGUCAACUUGGACUCACAGGCAAGACGGAGCUGCUUGUGAGGGCUGUGAGAUGGGAUGGUGGUCCACAGCAAGACCCGCUUCUCGUUGAGAAGAGCGAUUGGUGAUUUCAUGUUAGAUUCUCCAAAAGGGUCAAAUUAGACCCGAAAAAGUUGCUAGAUUUGUUGCUAGUCGCUUUUUGGGAUAAACAAUCUUCAGGGGUCAAAAUACUUAUUAAAUAAUAUAGCAUUAAAGGCAACACUUUUGUGUUACCUCCUUCCUGCUACGUCUUCUUACUCUCUGA